rnacentral:tRNA from 1 species
UCCUGGGUGGCUCAGUCGGUUGAGUGUCUGACUUCGGCUCAGGUCAUGAUCUCGCAGUUCGUGAGUUCGAGCCCCGCCUCGGGCU